CGCGGGAUGGAGCAGUCUGGUAGCUCGUCGGGCUCAUAACCCGAAGGUCGUAGGUUCAAAUCCGGCUCCCGCAACCA
rnacentral:tRNA from 1 species